GACGAACGCUGGCGGCGUGCUUAAUACAUGCAAGUCGAACGAACAGACGAGGUGCUUGCGCCGCUGACGUUAGCCGCGGGCGUGUUAGUAACGCGAGGAUCCCCUACCUAUAAGACUGGGAUAACUACGGGAAACCGGAGCUAAUAACGGAUAAUAUAUUGAUGCUCUUGGUUCAAUAUUCAGUGACGGUUUUUGUGUCUCUAAUAGAUUAAUCCGCGCCGAAUGUGCUAGUUGGUAAGGUAACGGAUUACCAAGGCAACGAUGCGUAGGACAACGCAGAGGGUGAUCGGCCACACGGGAGCGGAGACACGCACCAGACACCGACGGGAGGCAGCAGUAGGGAACCUUCCGCAAUGGGCGAAAGGCUGACGGAGCAACGGCGCGUGAGUGAUGAAGGUCUUCGGAGCGUGAAACUCUGUUAUGAGGGAAGAACAAAUGUGUAAGUAACUAUGCACGUCUUGACGGUACCUAAUCAGAAAGCCACGGCUAACUACGUG
rnacentral:rRNA from 1 species